UAAUUUUUAUAAAUGAAAUGAAGUUUUUUCCCAAUUUUUGUAGUUAUUUAAAUAUUUAAAUAAAAGAAAAUGCUUAGGGCACGCCUUAGGGCGUCCCUUAGGGCGCCCCACUGCAGGUGGAAGGAUAGAAGGAUAAAAAGGAUGACGUGACUGUCCAUAGGGCGCGCCUAAGGGCGCCCCAUUGCUAAUGCUCUGAAAUAAAGGAGUAAAAUCUUUUGACAUAGAUUUUCUGGCGAAGAAGGUGACGGUGACCGGAAAUGUGAUGGCGUCGGAUGUUCUUGCGAGCAUAUCUAAGGUCAAGAAUGCGCAAUUACGGCCUCCUUAGAUUGCGUCUUCCAAUCCAACGUCGGAAUUAAUCAAGAGCGAUGAUAGCAACAUAGAUGCUCCAUAAAUAUAAUUUCAAGCAGUUUUAUAUACAUGUAGUAGCUUCAAACUGGUCUUUUAUCUUCGUAUUUCACUGCCCGAAACCACAUGUCAAACAAAAUAUAUACGGCGAGAUAAAUGUACAUCAGACCAUCCGCAAUGUUGUCUCUUAUCAAGUCUCUUAACCGUCUCAUCUCUUAA